AAAGAAACCAACAGGGAUUGCCCUAGUAACGGCGAGUGAAGCGGCAACAGCUCAAAUUUGAAAUCUGGCCCUCGGGUCCGAGUUGUAAUUUGUAGAGGAUGCUUUUGGUGAGGUACCUUCCGAGUUCCCUGGAACGGGACGCCAUAGAGGGUGAGAGCCCCGUCUGGUUGGAUACCGAUCCUCUGUAAAGCUCCUUCGACGAGUCGAGUAGUUUGGGAAUGCUGCUCUAAAUGGGAGGUAUAUGUCUUCUAAAGCUAAAUAUUGGCCAGAGACCGAUAGCGCACAAGUAGAGUGAUCGAAAGAUGAAAAGCACUUUGAAAAGAGAGUUAAAAAGUACGUGAAAUUGUUGAAAGGGAAGCGCUUAUGACCAGACUUGGGCUUGGUUGAUCAUCCUGGGUUCUCCCUGGUGCACUCUUCCAGUUCAGGCCAGCAUCAGUUCGCUGCGGGGGAUAAAAGCUUUGGGAAUGUGGCUCCCUCGGGAGUGUUAUAGCCCAUUGCAUAAUACCCUGCUCCGGACUGAGGUUCGCGCAUCUGCAAGGAUGCUGGCGUAAUGGUCAUCAGCGACCCGUCUUGAAACACGGACCAAGGAGUCGUCUUCGUAUGCGAGUGUUCGGGUGUUAAACCCCUACGCGUAAUGAAAGUGAACGCAGGUGAGAGCUUCGGCGCAUCAUCGACCGAUCCUGAUGUUCUCGGAUGGAUUUGAGUAAGAGCAUACGGGGCCGGACCCGAAAGAAGGUGAACUAUGCCUGUAUAGGGUGAAGCCAGAGGAAACUCUGGUGGAGGCUCGCAGCGGUUCUGACGUGCAAAUCGAUCGUCAAAUAUGGGCAUGGGGGCGAAAGACUAAUCGAACCUUCUAGUAGCUGGUU
rnacentral:rRNA from 1 species